rnacentral:rRNA from 1 species
CAAAGGCUUGGUCCUGACCUUUCCAUCUACUAUAAUCAAACUUACACAUGCAAGUAUCCGCAUUCCCGUGAAAAUGCCCACAGUCCUCUACUAGAGAACAAGGAGCUGGUAUCAGGCACAUACACUCUAUAGCCCAUAACGCCUUGCUCAGCCACACCCCCAAGGGAAUCCAGCAGUGAUAAACAUUAAGCAAUAAGUGAAAACUUGACUUAGUUAUGGCUAAGAGAGUCGGUCAAACUCGUGCCAGCUACCGCGGUUAAACGAGCGACUCAAGUUGAUGGAUCACGGCGUAAAGGGUGGUUAGGAUUAAAUACAAACUAAAGCCGAACACUUACAGAGCUGUUAUACGCUUCCGAACGUAAGAAGAACAUCUACGAAAGUGGCUUUAAU